rnacentral:rRNA from 1 species
UACGGAGGGUGCGAGCGUUAAUCGGAAUUACUGGGCGUAAAGCGCACGUAGGCGGUGGCGUGAGUCGGAUGUGAAAGCCCCGGGCUUAACCUGGGAAUUGCAUUCGAUACCGCGUCGCUAGAGUUUGGGAGAGGGAAGGGGAAUUCCGGGUGUAGCGGUGAAAUGCGUAGAUAUCGUGAGGAACACCAGAGGCGAAGGCGGCUACCUGGACAAUUGCUGACGCUCAGGCACGAAAGCGUGGGGAGCAAAAGGG